AGAUUGAACGCUGGCGGCAUGCCUUACACAUGCAAGUCGAACGGCAGCACGGGAGCAAUCCUGGUGGCGAGUGGCGAACGGGUGAGUAAUACAUCGGAACGUGCCCAGUAGUGGGGGAUAGCCCGGCGAAAGCCGGAUUAAUACCGCAUACGACCUACGGGUGAAAGCGGGGGAUCGCAAGACCUUGCGCUAUUGGAGCGGCCGAUGUCAGAUUAGGUUGUUGGUGGGUAAAGGCCUACCAAGCCGACGAUCUGUAGCUGGUCUGAGAGGACGACCAGCCACACUGGGACUGAGACACGGCCCAGACUCCUACGGGAGCAGCAGUGGGGAAUUUGGACAAGUGGGCGCAAGCCUGAUCCAGCCAUGCCGCGUGCGGGAAGAAGGGCCUUCGGGUUACGUAAACCGUCUUUUGUACGAGGAAAGAAACGCUACUGAGACUAACUAACCGUCGGUAAGUAA
rnacentral:rRNA from 1 species